rnacentral:misc_RNA from 1 species
GCGGCGGCACGUAGGACGGAUCUCUUGGAUUUACCUGUAACGAGGAGCGGCGCACCCCAGGAGCCCCGGCAGCACCCCAGGAGCCCCGGCAGCACCCCAGGAGCCCCGGCAGCACCCCAGGAGCCCCGGCAGCACCCCAGGAGCCCCGGCAGCACCCCAGGAGCCCCGGCAGCACCCCAGGAGCCCCGGUACGCAACCCUCCCCCGGGAACCCCGGCAGCACCCCGGGAACCCCGGCAGCACCCCGGGAACCCCGGCAGCACCCCGGGAACCCCGGCAGCACCCCAGGAGCCCCGGCAGCACCCCAGGAGCCCCGGUACGCAACCCUCCCCCGGGAACCCCGGCAGCACCCCGGGAGCCCCGGCAGCACCCCGGGAGCCCCGGCAGCACCCCGGGAGCCCCGGCAGCACCCCAGGAGCCCCGGUACGCAACCCUCCCCCGGGAACCCCGGCAGCACCCCGGGAGCCCCGGCAGCACCCCGGGAGCCCCGGCAGCACCCCGGGAGCCCCGGCAGCACCCCGGGAGCCCCGGCAGCACCCCAGGAGCCCCGGCAGCACCCCAGGAGCCCCGGCAGCACCCCAGGAGCCCCGGCAGCACCCCAGGAGCCCCGGCAGCACCCCAGGAGCCCCGGCAGCACCCCAGGAGCCCCGGCAGCACCCCAGGAGCCCCGGCAGCACCCCAGGAGCCCCGGCAGCACCCCAGGAGCCCCGGUACGCAACCCUCCCCCAGGAGCCCCGGCAGCACCCCAGGAGCCCCGGCAGCACCCCAGGAGCCCCGGCAGCACCCCAGGAGCCCCGGCAGCACCCCAGGAGCCCCGGCAGCACCCCAGGAGCCCCGGCAGCACCCCAGGAGCCCCGGCAGCACCCCAGGAGCCCCGGCAGCACCCCAGGAGCCCCGGCAGCACCCCAGGAGCCCCGGCAGCACCCCAGGAGCCCCGGCAGCACCCCAGGAGCCCCGGCGCCACCCUCCCCCCGGAGGGGGAUCCCGGCGCGCCACCCUCCCCCCGGAGGGGGAUCCCGGCGCGCCACCCUCCCCCCGGAGGGGGAUCCCGGCGCGCCACCCUCCCCCCGGAGGGGGAUCCCGGCGCGCCACCCUCCCCGGCAACAACCUGUUGCCAUGUAUUGUGAUUUGUAUCAGUCACAAGCACACAACCCCUUCUAGUAUUAAUGAUGUUUAAAACGUUCUACACGUACGGCGGACCGCAUCCGUCGCAAGCACGCGCAUAUAACCCCCAAAUGCACCAUGAUGAGAAGCACAGCCACGCGUCAAAAAACUUUAAAAACAUCGUUAUCCAAUAUUAAAAACCACACCGAAAUUUACACAGGUGGCACGUUACCGUGUUAGUGUCACCCACUGUACACAAGGCGUGUCGUAUAUGUAGUAUAGGUAUUUGAUGAGGCGGAAGCAUAUCCCGCUUCCAGCGAACGGAAAUAAGGAUCAUCCGUUCCAGCAUUUAUUCAAAGGGGGCACAGAGGGUUCACAUUGUUUAGAGAGAGUUUUUCUUAGUAACCAUUCCAUACUUUGGCAGUAUUGGCCUACGAUUUGGGCGACGUUUCAGGCUGGUCUAUUCUCCGUCCACUUUUCCCCGGCUAUUCUAUCCCAGCAUAGGCUCUUGAAAUAAACAAUGUUUACCGAGUAAAA